UACGGAGGGUGCAAGCGUUACUCGGAAUCACUGGGCGUAAAGCGCGCGCAGGCGGCUAUUUAAGUUGGAUGUGAAAGCCUACGGCUCAACCGUAGAACUGCAUCCAAAACUAUUUAGCUAGAGUGUGGGAGAGGAAGAUGGAAUUAGUUGUGUAGGGGUAAAAUCCGUAGAGAUAACUAGGAAUACCAAAAGCGAAGGCAAUCUUCUGGAACACUACUGACGCUGAGGCGCGAAAGCGUGGGGAGCAAACAGGAUUAGAAACCCGAGUAGUCC
rnacentral:rRNA from 1 species